UCUACUGUACAACUAUGAUAUAAUUAAUAUUCUACUGUACAACUAUGAUAUAAUUCUUAGUGUUAAGUAAUCAGUAAGCCAAUAAUGUUCAGUCGGCCCAUAAUGCCUAGGCAUAAUAGAGGCUCUCUUUGCAUUGCAACCCAUUAUUGUAAAUACAUAAUCUCAAUGUACUAUUUGAAAAGACAUAAAUAAAUAAAUAAGUAAAUGGAAGACAGGAGGAGGGGAGAGGAUGGAGGAGUUUACAAUUGUUUUGAAGGGAAAUCCCUCCCAUAAAGACUACAGGUACCAAGCCCUUAUCCUGGGUUACUUCCCUUCUUUGUUUUUUCAUGCCACUAGGACCAGCUUGAGUGUCACUGGACCCCUGUCGCUCAAAAAAGUGCUCCAGAGAGGUUGUUUCCGGCGUAUGUUAGGAAUUGUGUUGGGAGACAGGACAAGAUAGUCCUUCAAUAUGACACUAAUAUUUGCUCUAUGUCUUAUGUAUCUAGCACAAUUCAUCUAAUAUGACACAAUAAACAAUAUUAAUAACAUAGAAAUAUGAUUUAUACUCUAGAAUGAAUAAAAUAUGGUAUUAAGAAUGUCAUGAGUGGUAGUGUGUUUGUUGUUGGGUGUAUAUGGGCCACUGAAAGAUAAUCCUUACAUAGUGGUGGUGAAGGCCCCAGCAGAGGCAGUGGUGUUAGUCAGUAGCCCUAUAUACCUCCAACAACAAUGGAGGAGUCAGUUUCGUGCUGUCCUUUUUCUAUCGAUUAAUCACUUAACUUACUUGCUACACUGUUAAUGCUACACUUUAUUGCUGGCUGGCACUAUAGCCUUUAUCGACUCCUGCUGCUUUAAUAUCGUACAUAUUGCAAAAUCACUGAAAAAGGCACAUUCUUCCCCCUCUCUCAGCCCUUUACCAAAGGGCUGGCUGGCACUAAAAGCUUUCUUUGGGCCCAAGGUGGCUUAUUUAGCAGUUACAAGCACUAAAAAGAAUGGAAUGAUACUUUUUAAAAUGUAUCGUAUGAACGCGUGGGAUCAUCCUCACUGGCUGGUAAACAGUGGCACACUGGCUGUACAUGGAGUGUUGGGGCCGUGCAGACACGUUCCAGACAAAUGACUUAUACUGAGUUCAGUGAUGUUCACCGAGCCAAUAUUUUGACGAAAAAAUGUUACUUAAUCCGAAUAUUACUUAUUCCGAUGAUGCCUUAAUCUGGGGGUUCACUACCUUACUCCUCAUCGAAUUGGAGGUAUUCUGUUCCCAUGUGAUAGUUCUAACAGUGAUGGAAGUGCCAGUGAAAGUGAAUUCCAUGGUUUUCAGGAGGGUGUGACUGGAUGCAGUGCCCAGGAUAACAUAAUUAGUGAUGAAAACAUAGAUGACCCGCGACCUUCCACCUCUGGUGCUGGGCCGUCUCAUUCACGUUCACCUGUACCAGGAUGAAAAAGGAAACUAUUUCUCCAUGUACAGGACUCGGAUGUGAGCAGUGAAAGCGAUGGUGAUUUCCAAGUUAUUGAAAGCAGCUCGAGUUGCGACGUGAGGGGGAAUAUUCUCCAGUGAAGCGGCAGUAUGUGUGACGCAGCAUGCGUUCUGGCAGUGUGUCGUGUGCCAUUCCAAGGAAAAGGAACAAAUCUCGGAGUACAUCCUGUGGCCCUGCACUACAAACUGAGUGUGAAGAUGACGAUAUUGUUACAAUGGGAAUGUGGCAUGUGGCACCAACAGUGGGCCAUGCUGCUAACUCAGCACAGCCACAACUACCCUCAACCACCCCCACACUCCCACAACCUGCACAAAAACAACCUCCACAACCACAACCACUUUUCAAUAUCCAGUACCCACCAGAAGACCGCAUCUGGGAUUGGCAGCAAGGUGCCAGUUUUGUUCCCAAUCCCCAUGUCUUUGAUGAAACAUAAAGUGGAAUACGGCCAUUGUGUACACUUGGGAACAGUGCCGCUGAACUAGAAUGCUUUUAGUUAUUCUUCGAUGAACCACUGAUGGAAAUUAUUGUCAUGGAAAGCAACACAUACUAUGAGUACACCAUGGCAAACACAAUUCUUUCACCAAGAUCACGGCUACACCAGUAGAAGGACACAACUGUGGCAGAGAUAUACCUGUUCUUUGCCACAAUAAUGCUUAUGCCACAUGUAUAUAAGCACACUGUCACCACAUACUGGUCGAAAGAACGUCUGAUUUCAACCCCAGGUUUAAUGAUAUUAUACCAGUGAAUCGAUUUUUGCUACUGUUACGUAUGUAACAGUAGCAAAACAAGGCCUGACAGAAAUGACAGGUUAUAUAAGAUCAGGAAUGUGUUCGUGUACCUGAAACAAAAGUGCCAUAUGUAUUUUUAUCCCUUCAGGAAGCUUGUUAUUGAUGAGUCUUUGAUUUUGUUCUAAGGCAGACUGUCGUUCAAGCAGUAUAUACCAAGCAAGAGGAAACGCUUUGGUAUAAAGUUAUUUGUACUGUGUGAUUGUAAAAGUGGUCUGGUUUUGAAUAUAAUUGUGUACACUGGCAGUAAUACAUUGAGAGAUACCAGAAAGUUAUUGGGUAUCUCUGGUGAUGUGGUUAGAAUAAUGAUGGAACCAUAUCUCAGUGUGGGGCAUAUAUUAUAUACUGAUAACUGGUACACAAGUCCCUUACUCAGUGAUUUUUUGCAAGUGAACAUGACAGACGUUUGUGGCACAGCUCGUGGAAAUUGUAAGCAUAUACCUAGGUUUGACACAGGCACUCGUAAAGGUGAGGUGCAGGUGUUUGCUGCCAAUGACAUCAUGGCAUUUCGGUGGCAUGACAAACGUGAUGUCACGUUAUUGACAUCAGUUCGUUGAAAAGAAAUGGCAGACAGUAGCAUGCAGAAUAAAAGACCAAUGAACCCAUUCUGAAACCUGCAGCUGUGAUAGACUACAACCUCAAUAUGCGAUUAGUGGACAAAUGUGACAUGCAAAUUGGGUUUGCUGAUUGUGCUCGCAAGAGUUAUAAGUGGUACAUGGAACUUUUUUUUCCAUCUUCUUGACAUUUCCAUGCUGAAUGCUUAUAACAUGUACAAGUUGAAGACCAACAACAAACAAAAAUGUGGUGAAUUUUGUUUAUCAUAAGAACAUAAGAACGGAGGAACACUGCAGCAGGCCUGUUGGCCCAUACUAGGCAGAUCCUUUACAAUCCAUCCCACUAACAAAAUAUUUGCCCAACCCAAUUUUCAAUGCCACCCAAGAAAUAAGCUCUGAUAACUCUAUCCACUCAUAUGCAAGUCCCACUCAAAUCCAACCCCCCUCACUCAUGUAUUUAUCCAACCUAAAUUUGAAACUACCCGAGGUUUUGGCCUCAAUAACCCUACUUGGCAGACUGUUCCACUCGUCAACUACCCUGUUUCCAAACCAAUACUUUCCUGUAUCCUAUGAGGGAGACGUGUAUAAACAUUUAACUCUUUGUCUGCCUCAAGCCCAUGUCUGAAAUUGUUUAUUACUAUUGUUCUAGUAACAUAUACAGUGGACCUCCUGAUUACGUCAUUGGAAUACAUAAUACGUAUUUGGAAUAAAUAACGUUUUUUCGUCAGAAUAUUGGCUCGGUGAUCGUCACUGAACUCGGUAUAAGUCAUUCGUCCGGCCCCGACACUCCAUGUACAGCCAAUGUGCUGUUGUUUAUCAGCCAGUGAGGAUGAUCCCAUGAGUUCAUAUGAUACAUUUUGUAUUAUUCCAUUCUUUUUAGUGUUUGCAACAACUAAAUAAGCCACUAUGGACCAAAUGAAAACUCCUAGUGCCAGACCUUUGGUAAAGAAGGCGAUAAACACGAUAAAUUACAUUGACGAAUUUGCCAAGAUAAUAUCGGAUGAAAACUUUAGUCCUGAACAAAUUUACAAUGCUGAUGAAACAGUUAUCUACUGGCGCUAUGUUCCUAGAAAAACAUUAACAACAACUGAUGACAGAGCACCAACAGGUUUUAAGGAUGCUAAGGACAGGUUAACUAUUUUUGGCUGUGCCAAUGCUGCAGGUACACACAAGGUGAAGUUGGCAGUGAUUGGAAAAAGCAAAUGUCUGAGAUAUCUGAAAGGUGUAUGCAAUUUACCUGUGUAUUAUUAUGUCAACAAAAAAGCCUGGGUAACCCAAGAAAUGUUUUCCGACUGGUUCAAUAACCACUUCGUAGCAGCUGCAUGAGCUCAUUGCAGGCAAGCUGGACUAGAAGGUAAAUAGGGGCCAGAAUAAACAAUGCAGACAUUCCUAGCACUAAAAUAACAUUUUCUCUGUUCAUUAGUCAUGACUCCUGGCCCCUCUUAUAUUAUGCUUGCUUUUCAUUUUGAAUUUUUAUUCACACAAAAAAUAGAUUUACUGUUAUGCAGACUUUUGCAUUAUUGUAAAAAUGGUAUAUAUAAUAUCAGCACAUAUGUGAAAGCAUACAAGACCCACUAGUUGUGUAUUGGACAUGUGGUGUGAUUUGUUUACACUUGAACAUCGGCAAAAAUCGAACAUUUCUGCUACUUUGAGCUCAAUUUCAAGGUAUGUACUUCUAUUCCAAAAACCAUUCAGAUUCAUCUCUAUUUCUGUAAUAUAUCUUCCAUUCUGUAUAAGGGCAAUGUGUGGUGUAAAUAUUAUGCAGAAAAUUCGGAGUGUGGAAAUUAGGAAAAGGUGUGGAGUUAAUAAAAGUAUUAGUCAGAGGGCAGAAGAGGGGUUGUUGAGGUGGUUUGGUCAUUUAGAGAGAAUGGAUCAAAGUAGAAUGACAUGGAAAGCAUAUAAAUCUAUAGGGGAAGGAAGGCGAGGUAGGGGUCGUCCUCGAAAGGGUUGGAGAGAGGGGGUAAAGGAGGUUUUGUGGGCAAGGGGCUUGGACUUCCAGCAAACAUCGAACUUAAGCUAAAGGAAUCUUAUAGGAGUCAAGAAUCGCGGGAAGAACUAAAAGCCAUAAAUGAAAUCGAAAGAAACCCAAAGUAUUUCUUCUCCUAUGCCAAAUCAAAGUCGAGAACAACGUCCAGUAUUGGGCCCCUACUUAAACAAGAUGGGUCCUACACAGAUGACAGCAAGGAAAUGAGUGAGCUACUCAAGUCCCAAUAUGACUCAGUUUUUAGCAAGCCGCUAACCAGACUGAGAGUCGAAGAUCAAAAUGAAUUUUUUAUGAGAGAGCCACAGAAUUUGGUUAACACAAGCCUAUCCGAUGUUAUCCUGACGCCAAAUGACUUCGAACAGGCGAUAAAUGACAUGCCCAUGCACUCUGCCCCAGGGCCAGACUCAUGGAACUCCGUGUUCAUCAAGAACUGCAAGAAGCCCCUAUCAUGAGCCUUUUCCAUCCUAUGGAGAGGGAGCAUGGACACGGGGGUCGUCCCACAAUUACUAAAAACAACAGACAUAGCCCCACUCCACAAAGGGGGCAGUAAAGCAACAGCAAAGAACUACAGACCGAUAGCACCAACAUCCCAUAUCAUAAAAAUCUUUGAAAGGGUCCUAAGAAGCAAGAUCACCACCCAUCUAGAAACCCAUCAGUUACACAACCCAGGGCAACAUGGGUUUAGGACAGGUCGCUCCUGUCUGUCUCAACUAUUGGAUCACUACGACAAGGUCCUAGAUGCACUAGAAGACAAAAAGAAUGCAGAUGUAAUAUAUACAGACUUUGCAAAAGCCUUCGACAAGUGUGACCAUGGCGUAAUAUUGCACAAAAUGCGUGCUAAAGGAAUAACAGGAAAAGUUGGUAGAUGGAUCUAUAAUUUCCUCACUAACAGAACACAGAGAGUAGUCGUCGACAGAGUAAAGUCCGAGGCAGCUAUGGUGAAAAUCUCUGUUCCACAAGGCACAGUACUCGCUCCCAUCUUGUUCCUCAUCCUCAUAUCCGACAUAGACAAGGAUGUUAGCCACAGCACCGUGUCUUCCUUUGCAGAUGACACCUGAAUCUGCAUGACAGUGUCUUCCAUUGCAGACACUGCAAGGCUCCAGGCGGACAUCAACCAAAUCUUUCAGUGGGCUGCAGAAAACAAUAUGAAGUUCAACGAUGAGAAAUUUCAAUUACUCAGAUAUGGUAAACACGAGGAAAUUAAAUCUUCAUCAGAGUACAAAACAAAUUCUGGCCACAAAAUAGAGCGAAACACCAACGUCAAAGACCUGGGAGUGAUCAUGUCGGAGGAUCUCACCUUCAAGGACCAUAACAUCGUAUCAAUCGCAUCUGCUAGAAAAAUGACAGGAUGGAUAAUGAAAACCUUCAAAACUAGGGAGGCCAAGCCCAUGAUGACACUCUUCAGGUCACUUGUUCUAUCUAGGCUGGAAUAUUGCUGCACACUAAUAGCACUUUUCAAGGCAGGUGAAAUUGCUGACCUAGAAAAUGUACAGAGAACCUUCACGGCGCGCAUAACGGAUAUAAAACACCUCAAUUACUGGGAGCGCUUGAGUUUCCUAAAACUGUAUUCCCUGGAACGCAGGCGGGAGAGAUACAUGAUUAUAUACACCUGGAAAAUCCUAGAGAGACUAGUACCGAACUUGCACACGAAAAUCACUCACUACAAAAGCAAAAGACUUGGCAGACGAUGCAACAUCCCCCCAAUGAAAAGCAGGGGUGUCACUAGCACGUUAAGAGAGAAUACAAUAAGUGUCAGGGGCCCGAGACUGUUCAACUGCCUCCCAGCAUACAUAAGGGGGAUUACCAACAGACCCCUGGCAGUCUUCAAGCUGGCACUGGACAAGCACCUAAAGUCAGUUCCCGACCAGCCGGGCUGUGGCUCGUACGUUGGUUUACGUGCAGCCAGCAGUAACAGCAUGGUUGAUCAGGCUCUGAUCCACCAGGAGGCCUGGUCACAGACCGGGCCACGGGGGCGUUGACCCCCUGAACUCUCUCAAGGUAAACUCCAGGUAAGCGUGCGUGAGCGUGUUAGAUAGGAGUGAAUGGAGAGGAAUGGUACUUGGGACCUUACGAUCUGUUGGAGUGUGAGCAGGGUAAUAUUUAGUGAAGGGAUUCAGGGAAACCGAUUAUUUUCAUAUAGUCGGACUUGAGUCCUGGAAAUGGGAAGUACAAUGCCUGCACUUUAAAAGAGGAGUUUGGGAUAUUGGCAGUUUGGAGGGAUAUGUUGUGUAUCUUUAUACGUAUAUGCUUCUAAACUGUUGUAUUCUGAGCACCUCUGCAAAAACAGUGAUUAUGUGUGAGUGUGGUGAAAGUGUUGAAUGAUGAUGAAAGCAUUUUCUUUUUGGGGAUUUUCUUUCUUUUUUUGGGUCACCGUGCCUCGGUGGGAGAUGGCCGACUUGUUGAAAAAAAAAAAAAAUCUUCCAUUCUAUCAAAUGAGACCAAGAAAACUAGAAUAUAACCAUAAAUACCAUAGGAAAAACACCGCAAUGUCGGUGUUUUAAACCAAAAACAGUCAGUUUUUUUUUCUCUUGCACUGCGUGCUGCAGGAUUUUUCUUUAUACAUGUACUGCACACACUGACUACUCAGACCCAUUCUCUCAUAUGUAGGCCUACCAGCUUUCUCCCACAAGACUGGAAACCACCAGAAUUUUGGUGUAAUAUUACGGCACCAACUCUGGCUUGCAAGCCAUAAUAUUAUGGCACUGACAAUGAAAGGGCUAACUAAUUAAGGAUAUUUUUAUUUUGAGUACAGACACUGUUAGGCAUGCAUAACAAAAGAGCUGUUGCGUCAAUAGUUAAAUUUUCGUUUGAUAAAGGUCUAAUGAUUCUUACAGGAAGGAUUCUGUCCCCACUGUGAACUCAGGAGCUAAUUCCUCUAGCCAACCAUACCAAAUAGCAUCAAAGCCUCUUAUGAUGGAAGCCUCUCUCACACCAGAGAGGAUUAUGAAGGGUCCAGCAAGACUUCUAGAUGAGUCUCUCAGCCUUUGUGAUGACCUGAGCCCUUACCUAUUAGACCAAAGCAACUUCUUGGUUGUGGCCAUGAUGGGCAUGCAAGGAGUUGGAAAAUCUGCUUUGGCUUCACUUUUUGUUGACCCCAGUGUAGAUGUUCAUAAAAUAAGGUAUGAUAUUACUUGACCAUAAUUAAAAUUAUUCAUAUUUUACAGGUAUGCAGUAUAUUAUUUAAUAAUAACCCUUAAACUGUGUGAAGCCAAGACAUUAAAACUCCCCUGUGUGUAGCAAAAUUUAUUCUUUUAAUGCUGAUUGUAAAAGCUUAUUUUUCACAUACAGUUAUAAAAAGAAAAUUGAACUCAAGAGUGGAUGAAAAAAAAUAACUUCUGAGCAAGUCAUAAAUGUGUAUAGGUAUUUGUUUUCCAAUUUAUUUAUGCCAAAUUAUGUGUUUUGAGGCAUUUUAGCAUGCUAUACCUGCAUUUGCAAUUUUCACUAAUUGUGUACAAAUACUUACUUUAUUUGUUAUUUGCUUUUGUCUUCUAGCACUAUGUACAAGGAAAUCUUAGGGUAUUACAAUUGUUUCAAGAUGUUGCUUCAAAUAUUGAAAUAUGUAAGUAACAUUGACUUAUUGGCUUAUCCUGGGUUAAAGCUACAUAGUGAUUUUUUGGCUGGCUUUUCCUGUUAGGAUCAUUAGAUUGUAAUAAAUUUGGACCAAAUAAGGUAUAGUGGAUGUUCCUAAUUCACACUGGUUACUUUCCUGAAAACUGCUCUAUCAAUGAUUUCUAUGACUUAGGGACUUUCAAAACUCAAGGACAAAAUAAGGUGUUUCUUGGACCCUCAUUUCUAAGACCUUGGGGGAAGCCCAUUGUUGACCCGGCUUAGGUAUUUUUUCCUAACGUUAUUGGUAGCUGUGUAAGGCGUUUUGCCUUACAGCGUUCUGCUAAUACAGGCAUUUCAAAUUAUGACCAAAACACGCUAUAUAGUUCCCCCCACAUGACUUUCUUAUAUGGUCACUGUGGGCCACCCAGUUUGUUUAUAUUCUCUGUGAGCCCAGUUCUUCAUUAUGCCUGGAAACUUUCAAAAUUUCAAGUGUUUUAAAGUUACCUGAUUGUUCAUAUACACCCGGCCCCGCUUUACGGCGUUUCUCCUUACAGCGUUCCUCUAAUACAGACAUUUCAAAUUAUGACAAAAACUCCCUAUACAGCUCCCCCCCACCUGACUUUCUAGUACGGUCUCCGUGCCCCACCCAGUUUAUUUACAUUCUCUGUGAGCUCCGUGAGCAUCACGUCUCUUCAUUAUGUCUGAAAACUUUCCAAAAUUUCAAGUGUUUUAAAGUUAUUUCAUGUUUUAUGUAUUUUUUUUUUUCAACAAGUCGGCCGUCUCCCACCGAGGCAGGGUGACCCAAAAAAGAAAGAAAAUCCCCAAAAAAGAAAAUACUUUCAUUAUCAUUCAACACUUUCACCACACUCACACAUUAUCACUGCUUUUGCAGAGGUGCUCAGGAUACAACAGUUUAGAAGCAUAUACGUAUAAAGAUACACAACAUAUCCCUCCAAACUGCCAAUAUCCCAAACCCCUCCUUUAAAGUGCAGGCAUUGUACUUCCCAUUUCCAGGACUCGAGUCCGACUAUAUGUAUAGUAUAUAGAUUGUAAAAAUUAUAGAGGAACAAGUUUACUGAGUAUACCAGGAAAAGUGUAUGGUAGGGUUAUAAUUGAAAGAAUUAGAGGUAAGACAGAAUGUAGGAUUGCAGAUGACCAAGGAGGUUUCAGUGGGGGUAGGGGAUGUGUAGAUCAAGUGUUUACAUUGAGGCAUA